UGGGGAAUUUUGCACAAUGGGGGAAACCCUGAUGCAGCGACGCCGCGUGUACGAUGAAGAUCUUCGGAUUGUAAAGUACUGUCCUUGGUGAAGAUAAUGACUGUAACCAAGAAGCAAGCCCUGGCUAAAUACGUGCCAGCAGCCGCGGUAAUACGUAUGGGGCAAGCGUUGUCCGGAAUUAUUGGGCGUAAAGGGUACGUAGGCGGUUAUUUAAGUCUAAAUUAAAAGGCAUUGGCUCAACCAAUGUAAGGUUUAGAUACUGGAUAACUUGAGUAGAUGAGGGGAAAGUGGAAUUCCAUGUGUAGAGGUGAAAUGCGUAGAUAUAUGGAGGAACACCAAUGGCGAAGGCAACUUUCUGGAAUCAAACUGACGCUGAGGUACGAAGGCGUGGGGAGCAAACAGG
rnacentral:rRNA from 1 species